rnacentral:lncRNA from 1 species
GAUGAAUGGACUGUUUCUUUUGCCAAAUGUUGACGUGUUGCAUGUAUAACUAAUGGAAUCCCUCCACAUUUUUGUAACACUUGCAUGUAUUACUUUCUCAAUGUCCAAUUAUAAAAUAAUAAUGAAAUGCUUAUAAAACGAAACAUGGCAUGAAAUUUAAGUUUAUAAAAUAAAAUAGGAGUAGUAUUCUAUUUUCAGUCUCAGCUCAUCUCAUAAAUUCCGUAUGGUGUAUCUAACCUAACUAGAUAAUCAGGUUAAAUAUUAUUUAUGGAUACAGUACGCAUAACUUGCUGUACAAUUUAUUUAACAUGCAUGUGACGU